CAGUCGCCGCGGGAAUACGAAGGGGGCUAGCGUUGUUCGGAUUAACUGGGCGUAAAGGGUGCGUAGGCGGGGUUUUAAGUCAGGGGUGAAAUGCCGAGGCUCAACUUCGGAACUGCCUUUGAUACUGGAACUCUUGAGUCCGGGAGAGGUGAGUGGAACUGCGAGUGUAGAGAUGAAAUUCGUAGAUAUUCGCAAGAACACCAGUGGCGAAGGCGGCUCACUGGCCCGGUACUGACGCUGAGGCACGAAAGCGUGGGGAGCAAACAGGAUUAGAUACCCCCGUAGUCCCUGUCUCUUAUAC
rnacentral:rRNA from 1 species